AGGACAGCCUGGUAUCUGCUAAACAUGACCUACUCCGUGUCCAGGAGUAACUUUCCCUUGCUGAGAAGGAACUGGAGAAGAAAUUUCAGCAGACGGCUGCUUACCGGAACAUGAAAGAGAUUACAAAGGUAUGAAUCAGAUGAGUGAAUGUUUAACCCACAAGGACACACAUGAAGAGGUCAGCAGAUUAUCACUACUGGAUCUGAUGUAUCAGCUACACCUUGUACGGCUUAGAUUGGAAAUAUUAUUUGGACACGACACUACAAUUACUUAUUCAUCACCUAUCUGUAUUUUUCAAUGUUUACGGCUGGUUACCUGAGAGGAGGUUUUUGCAAGUACCCUCAUAUUUUUUGUGGGUUCACUUUGCUUAAGAGGAAACAUGUUGCCCAUAGCUUUGCUCCCUUCUUUCCUGGAAGAAUACAGCUCAACACUGUUGUCAAAUUCUUGUUUCUGGGUACAAAAUACAUUGUUUCAAAGAACUACAUAUCUGUGCAUUAUAAUAAUUAUUAUUUCUUUCUGUUUUAUGUUUGUAUGCAUACAUUAAUCUCAUCUUCUAGGAGCUUUAGCUGUUGCCACAAGUAUAUAACCUAUACAAAAAUUGUGUAUAUCAUUUUAUAAUUAAGGAC